rnacentral:rRNA from 1 species
UACGUAGGGCGCGAGCGUUGUCCGGAAUCAUUGGGCGUAAAGAGCUCGUAGGCGGCCUGUCGCGUCUGCUGUGAAAUCCCGGGGCUUAACCCCGGGCGUGCAGUGGAUACGGGCUGGCUGGAGGCAGGCAGGGGAGAACGGAAUUCCCGGUGUAGCGGUGAAAUGCGCAGAUAUCGGGAGGAACACCAGUGGCGAAGGCGGCUCUCUGGGCCUUUCCUGACGCUGAGACGCGAAAGCGUGGGGAGCGAACCGG